GGAAGGAUCAUUAUCAGUCUCUGGCUGUGCAUGCUGCAUGUGCAAUCCAAAACAAACCACUCUGUGUACUUUUCCUGUUGCUUUCAUGGGGCAUGGUGUCUUUACAUCACUCCGCGGUUGGUCUUUAUGGCCGAAGUUUGGAGAGUCUCCAUGAAAGGUUAUUGACCAAAUCACUUGCCGUCUUGUAUUUUCAGUCUGAAUAUGAUAAAAUUAAUAUAGUUAAAACUUUCAACAACGGAUCUCUUGGUUCUUGCAUCGAUGAAGAACGCAGCGAAAUGCGAUAAGUAGUGUGAAUUGCAGAAUUCAGUGAAUCAUCGAAUCUUUGAACGCACAUUGCGCCCUUCGGUAUUCCGGGGGGCAUGCCUGUUCGAGCGUCAUCAAAAACUUCUCAAGACAUGUUCUUGGUCGUGGAGAGUGGUUGACUUUAUGUCACCCACUUCCUAAAUCGAUUGGCAGAUUGCAAAACUUUCACAGAGUGUAAUAAUAAUAACCAUUCAUGACGUGACUUUUGCAUAUUGAGCUAUAAACCCUCAUUUAUUAUUCAGGUUGACCUCGGAUCAGGUAGGGAUACCCGCUGAACUUAAGCAUAUCAAUAAGCGGAGGA
rnacentral:rRNA from 1 species